rnacentral:rRNA from 1 species
UAGGGAAUCUUCGGCAAUGGACGAAAGUCUGACCGAGCAACGCCGCGUGAGUGAAGAAGGUUUUCGGAUCGUAAAACUCUGUUGGUAGAGAAGAACGUUGGUGAGAGUGGAAAGCUCAUCAAGUGACGGUAACUACCCAGAAAGGGACGGCUAACUACGUGCCAGCAGCCGCGGUAAUACGUAGGUCCCCGAGCGUUGUCCGGAUUUAUUGGGCGUAAAGCGAGCGCAGGUGGUUUAUUAAGUCUGGUGUAAAAGGCAGUGGCUCAACCAUUGU